rnacentral:rRNA from 1 species
UACGUAGGGAGCAAGCGUUGUCCGGAAUCAUUGGGCGUAAAGCGUGUGUAGGCGGUCUGUUAAGUCGGGUGUGAAAGCCCUGGGCUCAACCCAGGAAGUGCAUUCGAAACUAGCAGACUUGAGUACGGGAGAGGGUCGCGGAAUUCCCGGUGUAGAGGUGAAAUUCGUAGAUAUCGGGAGGAACACCAGUGGCGAAGGCGGCGACCUGGACCGAUACUGACGCUGAGAUACGAAAGCGUGGGGAGCAAACAGG